UUCUUGGGCUGUCCACUCCCAUCAAGCUUGACUCCUGCAACUUGAGUGAGGGCAUCAUGAGCAGUGAGACCAGCAAUAGGUAAGGCUGCAGCUUCAGCAGCCAACACUUCGGAUGGUCUGGCAGCGGUUAAGCUCUCACUAGCCACAGCAAACUCAGCAAAUCCACCUCCAUACUGCCAUUCAGCAUAAACAACACAUACAAUGGUUAUCAGAUAGUUAACUGAGUAAAUCAUAAAUAAUAACAUGCCAGUUAGGUUCUGUCUAAUCUUGGAACAUGAUUGUGUUGUUGUCAUAUCAGUUGGUGCUCGAGAUUUAGCUGCAGAAACAGCCCUUCCAUUGACAGGGGGCUCCAUACAUAAGAGCAUAAGACCCUCCCCCAAAGCCCACAAUGGCAGGAGCCUGGAGCAUACUGCCCAAGUAAUUGACUAAAUCUAAUGCACACUCAAGUAAAGCAUAUGGUUGUCCUUUGGUAGUUAUAAAUUUAUUACCGAUAGAGGGUAUGAAAUCAAUAUCUAUGACAAAUAUUCCUUGGUUUUUCAGAUCACCAAAGAGUAAGGAGAAUUCCAAUUCAACCCUUUGAUUGAAAACUGAAUUUGUGCUGCAAUUUGCAUUUGAAAGAUGAUUUUAUUCUUCCUCUAUUUAAAAAGUUUUGCUUCUUGUCCACAAUAAUCUAGAUUUAGCCAAGGUUAGAAUUGUACCCCCAACCCAAAGGUAGUCAAACAUCAUUUUAAGUUGAAAAACAGUAGGAAAGGGAAAGAAGAAGAAGAAUAAAAGUACUUGAUGAGUGAGUUUAGCAACAACUUUGUCACCAACUUUAAAAUCUUUGACUUGUGGUCCAACCUCUACUACCUCUCCUGCAACAUCAGUGCCUGUUCCAGAAAUGGUUAUAUUAUUAUAAAGCAAGAGGAUGGGAUGUAAUUAUAACAUAAAUCAAUUGGAAUUGGAAUUGGAAUUGGAAUUGGAAUUGAGGGAUUAACUUACAAGGAAUAUGGGGAAACUGACGAGGUAAGAAUAAAGGGCGCAGAAGACCUUUCUGAAUCUUCCAAUCAACGGGGUUAAUGGUAAUUGCAUCCAAUUUCAGCAAAACCUCAUUUUUAUUUGGACUGGGAACAGGAACUUCAACAUGCUGCUUAUAUAAGAUCAAAAUUAACUAUUUUCAAUCAAAGCAAGUAACAUCUAAAUCAUAUUAUAAAAGAUUAAAAUAAGAUCCGCUUGUCUUGAUUCUGAAUUAUGUUGCAAAGAAGGAAGAAGCAAUAACCUAAAAUCCUAUUUAUUUAUGUUGUAGAAUUGUGAGUUGAGAAAGAAUGAAAGAGAAUAAUAAUAAAGAAAUAAAAAGGAGAGUGAAACCUUCAAGGAUGCGGAACCACCACCGUAGGAAUCGUAGUGAAGAGCUUGCAUCAACUUCCUCGACAUAUCUGAUGAUAUGAUAUCAAUCGUUUCAACACUUCCUCCUCAAUCUCUUAUAUAUAUAGUAUAGACACAUGGAGUCAGAAUAAUAAAUAUUAAUUUUCAUUUCUUACUUUAACAAUCAAGAUAAAUAAAUGACUUUUUCCCACUAUAUUUGGUAAAUGCGAUGCAAAUUAUGUAUAUAUUAUUUACGAAAUUAAUUUUACUUCCAUGCUACUAUCAAAUAAAUAUUAUCAUAAAAUAUUUAAAAAAAUGAGUAUAAAAAAGUGUUCAAGCUCCCUAUUGUGAACUUUGGUAAUAACAAUGAAGUGGCUGAAUUGUAAUGCUUCCAUUGCAAGUGCUCCCUCCCGCUUAAGCGUCCUUAGUAGAGAGCAUUUUGGAUCUCUUGCGUCCAUACAAGAUUACACAAUAGAAGGAUUUUCUCCAUCUUAGGGUUGUUUCAUAUGCCUGACUUCUAUAGUCAUAAAUUACCAAUGUACAUAAACAGAAUCAAAAACAAAUUUACAAUCCUCUCUAUGUUUUGUUUCACCUUUGCUGCUUUGAAAAUCAUUAUAAUUUUGAAAGAUUAAAAAAUCAAUGAACGUAAUUUGUAAUAAAACUUACUGAUACCAUUUGACACAGACAGUCAAACCUAAUAAUGGAAUUAAGUAGCUAUCCUUGGCAGGUAUAAUUGGAGCUCCUUCUUAUAAGCCUUUCCCAUAAUCUCAUAUUUCUCAUUACUAUUGAAGACAAAUUCCUUUUUGUAGGAGUUGGAUUCACGCCGGAUAUUGUUCACAAGAUACUUUUAAAAGAUCCUUUUGAUCAAGUGAAUUUAUACCAAAUCCUUACAUAUAAAAGUCAAUGAAAUUGGGAUGAUGUAGUGAUGCCAUAUAAAAUUCUUGUCAAGUGCAUACAUCCCUUUCUCUUGAAUUUUUAUUCAAAAAUUGAUAUUUGUUAUUAUGUGAUGCAAAAACUGAAGAUGAAGUAAUAGAAAUUUUAUUGUUGUUGGUGAGAAUAUAGUUUGUGUAAUUUUUAGCAGUGGAGUUAAACGAGCAGGUAUUGUUGUUCCUUGAGACAGAUAUUCAACUAAAGUAUAUAAUGCGAAAUAGAUAUUGAAAUCUUAACGUUAAGAGUUUAUUGGCUUGGCUGAAAUUGGUGCACGUGGGGUGAGCCACAAGUAAGAGAGAAUGAUGUGAUGUAGCUAAUUAAUUAAAGCUAUAUGUAAGUAUGUCUUUUAUUUUUAUGGUUCAUUUGGUGUUACUUGCAAGCAACCUCAAUACAACUAGGUUAUUAAAAUGUGGUGUUGGAACAAUAACAUUCACAUAUGCGUGGUUUGGUGCUGCAAUGCAGUAGUUCACAGAACUUCACACUAGGAGAUUGAGAGUGGUAAGGAUUUGGUGUGUGAAUAUGGAUGGAGGGUCAGGAGACUUGUUCCCAACUCAUGAAAUUAGGAAUCUGAGCAAAUUCAAGCCCGAGCAUCCCACCUCCCGAGAAAGUGUACUAUAAUCUACAUACAUAGCAUGUGGUAACAGAUGAUAAUUCACCAUUUCUAACCGUUGAUUUUCUUUUCUGAAAUUAGACUUCUCACCUUGAAUUUCACUUUCUUCUCAAGUUCUUAACCCCUUUCUAGAAAACAAAACUUGGUAGGAGACAAGACAAGUAAUCCAAUACAGCAUCCUUAUGUUAUCAUUUACAAACCAUCAAGAGAAUAUCAACAAACAUGUACUUCAAUCCUUUCAGCAUAUGAUAUGCCUACUUAUUCAUUUAUAUAUGAGCUUACAGAAAACAUUGCACAAUAAGAUAGGAAUACAGCAAACCAAGCAAACUGUGAUUACGGUUCCACAAUGAUUUUUCCAGUAGCAUGGCCGUCAAUGCUCUUAGCCCAAGCAUCUUCAGCUUUGCUCAAAGGAAACUUAGAGUCAAUAACAGUCUUCAGCUUCCCAUCCUUCACUAACUGAACUAGAUAUUCCAGGCCCUCACGCUUGACUGUUACGAAAAAUGGCACCAGCUGCUUCUUUGAAAAGGUAAGUUUCUUCAGGGCGAAAGUCGUCAAUGAACUCAGACUAGGCGUCAAAUCAACUACCUUUCCAUUUUCAGUCAAAUUAGGGUCAAAAGUUGACCAUGGUAUUCCGGUUGUACAAUGUAUCACUGCAUCGUAUUUCCUACCAGAUGGACUUGUUAGAGCUGCUCCCUCUGGAGUCCUGUAGUCAAGAACCUCAUCAGCACCUAAACUCUUAACAAAGUCAAUGUUGCGAGCCCCGCAAGUGGCUGUCACAUGUGUGUUCCCGAGUUUUGCUAGUUGAACAGCAUAGUGACCGACACCGCCUGAUGCAGCAGUUAUUAAAAUGUUCUUGGGCUGUCCACUCCCAUCAAGCUUGACUCCUGCAACUUGAGUGAGGGCAUCAUGAGCAGUGAGACCAGCAAUAGGUAAGGCUGCAGCUUCAGCAGCCAACACUUCGGAUGGUCUGGCAGCGGUUAAGCUCUCACUAGCCACAGCAAACUCAGCAAAUCCACCUCCAUACUGCCAUUCAGCAUAAACAACACAUACAAUGGUUAUCAGAUAGUUAACUGAGUAAAUCAUAAAUAAUAACAUGCCAGUUAGGUUCUGUCUAAUCUUGGAACAUGAUUGUGUUGUUGUCAUAUCAGUUGGUGCUCGAGAUUUAGCUGCAGAAACAGCCCUUCCAUUGACAGGGGGCUCCAUACAUAAGAGCAUAAGACCCUCCCCCAAAGCCCACAAUGGCAGGAGCCUGGAGCAUACUGCCCAAGUAAUUGACUAAAUCUAAUGCACACUCAAGUAAAGCAUAUGGUUGUCCUUUGGUAGUUAUAAAUUUAUUACCGAUAGAGGGUAUGAAAUCAAUAUCUAUGACAAAUAUUCCUUGGUUUUUCAGAUCACCAAAGAGUAAGGAGAAUUCCAAUUCAACCCUUUGAUUGAAAACUGAAUUUGUGCUGCAAUUUGCAUUUGAAAGAUGAUUUUAUUCUUCCUCUAUUUAAAAAGUUUUGCUUCUUGUCCACAAUAAUCUAGAUUUAGCCAAGGUUAGAAUUGUACCCCCAACCCAAAGGUAGUCAAACAUCAUUUUAAGUUGAAAAACAG
rnacentral:lncRNA from 1 species